UGCUAAGACUGUCAGUGUUUGG
rnacentral:miRNA from 1 species